rnacentral:rRNA from 1 species
AACGAACGCUGGCGGCAGGCUUAACACAUGCAAGUCGAACGGGUGCAGCAAUGCAUCAGUGGCAGACGGGUGAGUAACACGUGGGAACCUUCCUAGGGGUACGGAACAACUCAGGAAACUUGAGCUAAUACCGUAUACGUCCGUGAGGAGAAAGAUUUAUCGCCCUUAGACGGGCCCGCGUCGGAUUAGCUAGUUGGUGGGGUAACGGCCUACCAAGGCGACGAUCCGUAGCUGAUCUUAGAGGAUGAUCAGCCACACUGGGACUGAGACACGGCCCAGACUCCUACGGGAGGCAGCAGUGGGGAAUCUUGGACAAUGGGCGCAAGCCUGAUCCAGCCAUGCCGCGUGAGUGAAGAAGGUCUUCGGAUUGUAAAGCUCUUUUGCCAGGGACGAUAAUGACGGUACCUGGAGAAUAAGCCCCGGGAAACUUCGUGCCAGCCGCCGCGGUAA